GAUGAAGAACGUAGUGAAAUGCGAUAAGUAAUGUGAAUUGCAGAAUCCAGUGAAUCAUCGAAUCUUUGAACGCACAUUGCGCCCGCCAGCAUUCUGGCGGGCAUGCCUGUUCGAGCGUCAUUUCAACCCUCGACCUCCCUUUGGGGAAGUCGGCGUUGGGGACCGGCAGCACACCGCCGGCCCUGAAAUGGAGUGGCGGCCCGUCCGCGGCGACCUCUGCGUAGUAAACCAACUCGCACCGGAACCCCGACGUGACCACGCCGUAAAACACCCAACUUCUGAACGUUGACCUCGAAUCAGGUAGGACUACCCGCUGAACUUAAGCAUAUCAAUAAGCGGAGGA
rnacentral:misc_RNA from 1 species